rnacentral:rRNA from 1 species
GAUGAACGCUAGCUACAGGCUUAACACAUGCCAGUCGCGGGGCAGCAUGGGGGUUGCUUGCAAUCCCCGAUGGCGACCGGCGCACGGGUGAGUAACGCGUAUUCAACCUGCCCUUCACCACGGGAUAACCCGGCGAAAGUCGGACUAAUACCGUAUGUUGUCCAUUGACGGCAUCCGAAUUGGUCGAAAGGCUUGGCGGUGGGGGGUGGGGAUGCGUCCGAUUAGCCAGACGGCGGGGUAACGGCCCACCGUGGCUACGAUCGGUAGGGGUUCUGAGAGGAAGGUCCCCCACACUGGAACUGAGACACGGUCCAGACUCCUACGGGAGGCAGCAGUGAGGAAUAUUGGGCAAUGGGCGUAAGCCUGAACCAGCCAAGUAGCGUGCAGGAUGACGGCCCUAUGGGUUGUAAACUGCUUUUAUGCGGGGAUAAAGUGGCCCACGUGUGGGCUUUUGCAGGUACCGCAUGAAUAAGGACCGGCUAAUUCCGUG